GAAUUCUUUUUCGGGAAGAUUGGUAAUUUCAUUCUCACCAGGCCCUCUCUGUGGUGUUUGAGGGAUUUUGGACCGAACAAGGUUCUUCUGCCUUUUCAUGGCGCUGGAAGUGAUUGCUGAAAUGACCAUUAAGAAGUAGAUGCCCAGAUGCAAAGUGAUGAAACAGUCCAAUUUGUCAUAAAGUAAGAUGCAGCUGUGGAUUUCAACCAGAUUAG